rnacentral:lncRNA from 1 species
UAAAGAAUGGCCUUAUGAUAGCUGAAUAACCUAUACUAUGGGUGGCUUGUAGUUUUUUCCCCAAUUUGAUGACUAGUGAUUUUAAGACUUGUAAUCUUUUGACUUUUGAAAAAAAUAAGGUUAAUUAGUAUGGACCUUGCGGUAUUUAUCAAUGAGUUAUAGAACUAAUGAUUACAUGCUAUGCUAUGACAAUGUUGCUUU